UCUUCGGCUCUGUCCUGUUGGUGUCAACUAUCCACCCGGGUUUGAUUUGAGUAUUCAAUAUUUUGUCUUUUAAGCAUAUCAAUUUAAUUCGAUUGUUCAGAAGUGAUCGGAAUAGUGAAAUCAACAUUCCAUUUUCAACUUUAUUUGCAUAUCAAGCAGAAUGGCUGGCACAUCGACAGACGCCAAACAGUUUCCACUGAUCCCAAAGAUUAUCAACGGUGGCAUUGCAGGCAUCAUCGGAGUGUCAUGUGUUUUUCCAUUGGACUUGGUGAAAACAAGACUGCAAAAUCAACAGGUUGGACCCAAGGGUGAACUAAUGUAUAAAUCUAUGUUUGAUUGUUUUAAGAAGACUUACAAAGUGGAAGGUUAUUUUGGGAUGUAUCGAGGUUCUGCCGUUAAUAUAUUGCUGAUAACCCCUGAAAAGGCUAUUAAAUUGGCUGCCAAUGACUUUUUCCGGCACAACCUUAAAACAAAGGACGGG